UGUGUGUGUGUGUGUGUGUGUGUGUGUGUGUGUGUGUGUGUGUGUGUGUGUGCGUGCGUGUGUGUGUGGGUGUGUGUGUGUGUUUAUGUGAUGAUGUAUGGACAUAAACAGAAUAUUGAAACCUCCAACGUCGAAUAGUUGUACUAAAAGCUUGCCUAUGGGCUGUUACAGGCCAGCCUGGAGUAACCUAAAGGCUGAGUCGCAGGCAGCAAAGCUAUUACCUUUAGUCAAUAGACAUUAAUACAAGGUCUUCAAUCUUGGCCUUGUAUUUCUAGUGCCAUCUCACAGCCAAAUACAGGAGGCAGUCCUCUUAUGUAGCGGUAAAGGUAUUUGGUAGUAUCUAUUUACCCUAGUGCAUCAGUUUGACACAGUUGGAUGAGCAGAGAGCACAGAUGAUAUUGACCCAGACAGACAUGACGCUGUGAUGCACUGGCCUCGAUAGGUAGGAAGUGAUGCAAAGGUCCAUGCCAGUGCUAUUGAGCAAAGGUCAUGACCUCUGUGUGAGUCACGGAGGACCUUGCAUCCAGGGACUUCAUGUCUUAAAGGAUGAGUCUUGAGGUCGGAAGUGAUAGUGCGCUUAUAACACAAGUCCAUGGAAUACAGUAGAACAGACAGCACAGAACUGAGGAGAGGAUGGUAGAGUAGAGGAGAGGAUGGUAGAGUAGAGGAUGGUAGAGUAGAGGAGAGGAUGGUAGAGUAGAGGAGAGGAUGGUAGAGUAGAGGAGAGGAUGGUAGAGUAGAGGAUGGUAGAGUAGAGGAGAGGAUGGUAGAGUAGAGGAGAGGAUGGUAGAGUAGAGGAGAGGAUGGUAGAGGAGGGGAUGGUAGAGGAGAGUAGAGUAGAGUAGUGGAUGGUAGAGUAGAGGAGAGGAUGGUAGAGUAGAGGAGAGGAUGGUAGAGUAGAGUAGAGGAUGGUAGAGUAGAGGAGAGGAUGGUAGAGUAGAGGAGAGUAGAGUAGAGUAGUGGAUGGUAGAGUAGAGGAGAGGAUGGUAGAGUAGAGUAGAGUAGAGGAUGGUAGAGUAGAGUAGAGGAUGGUAGAGUAGAGGAGAGGAUGGUAGAGUAGAGUAGAGGAUGGUAGAGUGGAGGAGAGGAUGGUAGAGGAGAGGAUGGUAGAGUAGAGGAGAGGAUGGUAGAGGAGAGUAGAGGAUGGUAGAGUAGAGGAGAAGAUGGUAGAGUAGAGGAGAGGAUGGUAGAGUAGAGUAAAGAAUGAUAGAGUAGAGGAGAAGAUGGUAGAGUAGAGGAGAAGAUGGUAGAGUAGAGGAGAGGAUGGUAGAGUAGAGGAGAGGAUGGUAGAGUAGAGUAGAGGAUGGUAGAGUAGAGGAGAGGAUGGUAGAGUAGAGGAGAGGAUGGUAGAGUAGAGGAGAGGAUGGUAGAGUAGAGGAGAGGAUGGUAGAGUAGAGGAGAGGAUGGUAGAGUAGAGGAGAGGAUGGUAGAGUAGAGGAGAGGAUGGUAGAGUAGAGGAGAGGAUGGUAGAGUAGAGGAGAGGAUGGUAGAGUAGAGGAUGGUAGAGUAGAGGAGAAGAUGGUAGAGUAGAGGAUGGUAGAGUAGAGGAGAAGAUGGUAGAGUAGAGGAUGGUAGAGUAGAGUAGAGUAGAGUAGAGGAUGGUAGAGUAGAGGAUGGUAGAGUAGAGUAGAGGAUGGUAGAGUAGAGGAGAAGAUGGUAGAGUAGAGGAUGGUAGAGUAGAGGAGAAGAAGGUAGAGUAGAGGAGAAGAUGGUAGAGUAGAGGAUGGUAGAGUAGAGGAGAGGAUGGUAGAGUAGAGGAGAAGAUGGUAGAAUAGAGGAUGGUAGAGUAGAGGAGAGGAUGGUAGAGUAGAGGAGAAGAUGGUAGAAUAGAGGAUGGUAGAGUAGAGGAGAAGAUGGUAGAGUAGAGGAGAAGAUGGUAGAAUAGAGGAUGGUAGAGUAGAGGAGAAGAUGGUAGAGUAGAGGAUGGUAGAGUAGAGUAGAGGAUGGUAGAGUAGAGGAGAGGAUGGUAGAGUAGAGGAGAAGAUGGUUGAGUAGAGGAGAAGAUGGUAGAGUAGAGGAUGGUAGAGUAGAGGAGAGGAUGGUAGAGUAGAGGAGAGGAUGGUAGAGUAGAGGAGAAGAUGGUUGAGUAGAGGAUGGUAGAGUAGAGGAGAAGAUGGUAGAGUAGAGGAGAGGAUGGUAGAGUAGAGGAGAAGAUGGUAGAGUAGAGGAGAGGAUGUAGAGUAGAGGAGAAGAUGGUAGAGUAGAGGAGAAGAUGGUAGAGUAGAGGAUGGUAGAGUAGAGUAGAGGAUGGUAGAGUAGAGGAGAGGAUGGUAGAGUAGAGGAGAAGAUGGUAGAGUAGAGGAUGGUAGAGUAGAGGAGAGGAUGGUAGAGUAGAGGAGAGGAUGGUAGAGUAGAGGAGAAGAUGGUAGAGUAGAGGAGAGGAUGUAGAGUAGAGGAGAAGAUGGUAGAGUAGAGGAGAAGAUGGUAGAGUAGAGGAUGGUAGAGUAGAGGAGAGGAUGGUAGAGUAGAGGAGAGGAUGGUAGAAUAGAGGAGAGGAUGGUAGAGUAGAGGAGAAGAUGGUAGAGUAGAGGAUGGUAGAGUAGAGGAGAGGAUGGUAGAGUAGAGGAGAGGAUGGUAGAGUAGAGGAGAGGAUGGUAGAAUAGAGGAGAGGAUGGUAGAAUAGAGGAGAGGAUGGUAGAGUAGAGGAGAGGAUGGUAGAGUAGAGGAGAAGAUGGUAGAGGAGAGGAUGGUAGAAUAGCGGAGAAGAUGGUAGAGUAGAGGAUGGUAGAGUAGAGGAGAGGAUGGUAGAGUAGAGGAGAGGAUGGUAGAGUAGAGGAGAGGAUGGUAGAAUAGAGGAGAGGAUGGUAGAAUAGAGGAGAGGAUGGUAGAGUAGAGGAGAGGAUGGUAGAGUAGAGGAGAAGAUGGUUGAGUAGAGGAUGGUAAAGUAGAGGAGAGGAUGGUAGAGUAGAGGAGAAGAUGGUAGAGUAGAGGAGAGGAUGGUAGAAUAGAGGAGAGGAUGGUAGAGUAGAGGAGAGGAUGGUAGAGUAGAGGAUGGUAGAGUAGAGUAGAGGAUGGUAGAGUAGAGGAUAGGAUGGUAGAGUAGAGGAGAAGAUGGUUGAGUAGAGGAGAAGAUGGUAGAGUAGAGGAUGGUAGAGUAGAGGAGAGGAUGGUAGAGUAGAGGAGAGGAUGGUAGAGUAGAGGAGAAGAUGGUUGAGUAGAGGAUGGUAGAGUAGAGGAGAGGAUGGUAGAGUAGAGGAUGGUAGAAUAGAGGAGAGGAUGGUAGAGUAGAGGAGAAGAUGGUAGAGUAGAGGAUGGUAGAGUAGAGGAG
ensembl:lncRNA